rnacentral:tRNA from 1 species
GGCUUAGCUCAGUUGGCAGAGCAGCUGAUUUGUAAUCAGCAGGUCGUCGGUUCGAAUCCGUCCGCC